rnacentral:lncRNA from 1 species
GCUCUUACGAGAGCUACAUUGUGGGGUGAGCGGUAUAGAAUAAGGUUCAUUGUGGGGUGAUUUUGUAUUAUGGGGUGCAUCCCAUAAUGACAUCAUCUUAAACGGGUGCAAAUGUACAUUGUGGGUUGUUUCUUUAAUUUUCUGAGUUGCACCCCAGAAGAAAAUGGACAUAUCUGUCCCUCUUUGGACAGUUACGGACACAAUUCGUGUUUAAGAAUGAUUGCAAUCUAUUAAUAGCGGCCACCCAAUGGAAUGACGUCAUUCGGUAGCAUUCGUUAUUGUUCGGCAAAAACGGAGUUAAGCGCAUGCGCAGUCAAGUGACCUGGCCACGCCGUCGCCAUAUUGGUAGUCCUGAAGCGGAUCUAGACAGCGUUUUCACAACAACUGACACCAUGUCCAAAAGGCAGCCAGAAAGUAGCUCUGCAUGGUAGGAGUCCAUUAAAGAUGUGCCUGAUGAAACCAUUGGAAAUGUCAACAAUGGUAGCAUGGAUGGAAGUGACAGUGAUGUACCUUAAGAAAACAUUUGAAGUGACAAUGAUUGUAAGGUGGAUGAAAGUGACAAUGAUGUGCCUAUAGAAACCACUGCAAGUGACAACAAUGAUAACAUGGAUGAAAGUGACAAUGAUGGGCCUGAAGAAACCAUUUUAAGUGACAACGAGUGUAACAUGGAUGAAAGUGACAGUGACAGGCCUGAGGAAAAUAUUAUAAGUGAUAAUAAGGGACAACAAUAAUAACAUGGAUGAAAGUGGCAAUGAUGUGCCUGAGGAAAAUAUUGUAAGUGAUAUAACAGUUGUAACGUGGAUGGAAGUGAUACUAAUAUUUCUGAAAAAAAACCCUCAGGGAUUGGCUGUAAUGAAUGAACAGGAUGAUUUUUUGGGAGAAAUAAAUGGUGAAUAAAGAUAUUUUGGAUUUGACUUCACUUUUACUGAGAAUGACAAUAAUUCGUUUUCAAAAACAGAAAUUUGCAGCUUUUGUCUAUAUAGAUUUUGUCAUCUUUUUUGUAGACGAUUGUGAUUUUUUUUCAAUUUGGUUUGAAAAUUUGAUUAAUAAAAAUAAAUGUUGUUUUUUUUCAGAUUGUUUGGUAUUCAUAAUGUUGACAAACCCAAGUUAUAGUCUCAAGCUCCAUUUUAGUGAUCUGCUUUGUGUCCGGCAUCUGCCAACAAUACCUUCUUUUAACAUUUACUCCAGAACCGCUUGAACUUCAUUACCGGUAGUAGUAACUAAUCUGUUUUGCCCCCUUGAACAAUGUUUUGCUCAUGUCGGUCAGUAGGCCAUUUGGUUUCCGCUCAAUAACAAGAGAUUACUUAGACAUGCUGUGGUCAAACUUAAUAGGAUGACUACCUUUGGUCAGUAGGUAACCCCUUAUUGUUUUGGGGGUCAGUAGGUCAAAGAUCCAGGUCACAGUGACCUCAACACUGAAAACCAUUCCCACUUAAUUACAAGAGAACGCUUGAACCUGCAGUGGUCAACUGCCUAUGGCCAGUAGAUGAACCUAUAGUUUUUGGGGUCAGUAGGUAAAGUGUCUAGGUCACUGAGACCGCAGCACUAAAAAUGUUUGCAUUUUAGUUUUAUGAGCUGUAUCAAACUUUAAGCAAUUUAUGAAAUGUCUCUGUGUAAUGAGAGUAUAAUGGGCUCAACCCGUAAAACAACUGGCAUGGACAUCCUCAUGAGCUACAUCAAACUUUAUAAAAUUAAAUGUCAUGACAAUGAUAUGGGCUGCAACCAAUAAAACAGUUGACAUUGACACCCUUAUGGGCUGCAUCAGACUUUUAGAAAUGAAAUGUCUCUGAGAGUGUAAUGGGCUGCAACCUGUAAAUAAAAUCUGGAAAGUAGAUCCCUCGGAAGCACCGAGAACAAGGCAAACAGUGAAAAUUGCAGACUCAGUUUGAUUGAGUCUGUAAAACAACUGGCAUGAAGAUCCUAAUGAGCUGCAUCAAACUUUAUGGAAUGAAAUGUCACUGCCAAUUUUGGGUUGCAACCCACAAAAGAGUUGACAUAGACAUCCUAAUGGGCUGCACCAAACUUUAUGGAAUGAAAUGUCAUGGACAAUGUUAUGGGUUGCAACCCCAAAAAGGGUUGACAUGGACAUCCUUGUUGGCUGCAUCAGACUUCUAGAAAUGAAAUGUUUCUGAGAGUGUAAUGGGCUGUAACCUGUAAAAAAAUAAUUGGCAUGGAUUAGUCAUCCACCUCUUAUUGAUGUGGAGAAGUUGGCAGUUACUUGCGGAGAACAGGUUUGUACUGGUACAGAAUCCAGGAACACUGGUUAGGUUAACUGCCUGCCGUUACUUGACUGAAAUACUGUUGAAAAACUGCGUUAAAUCCAAAACAAAACAAAACAUACUUGUGAGCUGUAUCAAACUUUAAGAAUUGAAAUGUUACGGGCUGCAACCCGUAAAACAGUCUGCAUUGACAUACUAAUGGGCUGCAACCCAUAACACAGACAUUUCAGUUUGAUGCAACUCAUUAGUGUGUUCAUGCCAGUUAGUUUAAACUAUUUUUAUUCUGAAAAGCAUGAAAUAUUUGCAAUACAACAGUUCAGGAAUCGGACAGAAAGCAGUCAUAGCUUACAGCUGUCGUCCUAAUGCCAGUUGUGUUAUGAGUUGCAGCCCAUUACACUGUCUGAGACGUUUCAUUUCUUCAAGUUCGAUGCAGCCGUUUAGAAUGGCCUUGCCAAAUGUUUUAUGGGCUGUAGCCCAUAACACUGUCCAUGACAUGUUGGUUUGAUGCAGCACAUUAGUAUGUCCAUGUCAAUUGUUUUAUUGUUUGCAGAAUAGUAGUAAAAAGUGGUAAUAUUAAAAGAAAAUGCUCAUCACUAGUACAAGAGCAGUGUGAGUACAUACUAAGCCCUUUUCAGUUUUAAUACUGACAUGAAAGUAGAAUAUUUGUUUACAGAUCAUGCGGUAAUGAGCCUUUUCGGUGUUGUCCAAAGUCGCCAUAUGACCUAUAAUUGUGUUGGUGCAACUUUAAAUACAACAAAAAAUAAAUAAAUGUUUGAUGUUGUCCAGAGUUUUUUCUGUUUUGGUUUUAAAAGUGACUACGGAAUUGUAACAGUUUAUUACUCGCUAAUAUUGCCUGCCACUUGAGAAAUUUGUUUAUAACAGAUAGUUAAAGCAAAGAAACUUUAAUUAAGGUAGUUCUGCACGUUUGGAUCAAACCUUUUUUACAAUGUAGAAUUUGAUUAAACCUUAAGAAUUUACCUAGAAAAUGCAGGAAAUAAAAAAAUAGAGUCGUGUUCUUGAUUUUUUGCUACACCGAUUUGAAAAAUGCGGACCUCGCACAAUAUUUUAUAAUGUGAGUUUAUGGAAAAAUCAUUAUUUUCGUAACAUUUUCACGAAUAGAUAUUUGUCUGUAAUGUAAAAUUCGAUGAAACUUCUCGUAGUUGUAAAUAAAGACAUGACCUAUAAUUUGAUGAAAUAAAAUGUAUAGGUCUGUGAGCUUAUUUUCAAGAUAUUUGACCAUGAUUAAAUUGAACCGGACAUUUCGAGAUAAUUUUAAGACGUUAUUUUGAAUUAUUUUAUGUGUCAUACGUUUUGAUUUAACUGAGACUUCAGAAAUAUAGCAACAGUGUCAUUCUAACAAAUUUACUCACAAGCUGCGAUUAAUUCAUACAAUGAUUUUCAUUUCUGUACGCCGAAUCCAAGUUUUAUUCUACG